GAUCAUUACCGAGUGCAGGUCUGCCCCCGGGCAGGCCUAACCUCCCACCCGUGAAUACCUGACCAACGUUGCUUCGGCGGUGCGCCCCCCCCGGGGGUAGCCGCCGGAGACCACACCGAACCUCCUGUCUUUAGUGUUGUCUGAGCUUGAUAGCAAACCUAUUAAAACUUUCAACAAUGGAUCUCUUGGUUCCGGCAUCGAUGAAGAACGCAGCGAACUGCGAUAAGUAAUGUGAAUUGCAGAAUUCAGUGAAUCAUCGAGUCUUUGAACGCACAUUGCGCCCCCUGGCAUUCCGGGGGGCAUGCCUGUCCGAGCGUCAUUGCUGCCCUUCAAGCCCGGCUUGUGUGUUGGGUCGUCGUCCCCCCCGGGGGACGGGCCCGAAAGGCAGCGGCGGCACCGCGUCCGGUCCUCGAGCGUAUGGGGCUUUGUCACCCGCUCGAUUAGGGCCGGCCGGGCGCCAGCCGGCGUCUCCAACCUUCUAUUUACCAGGUGAC
rnacentral:misc_RNA from 1 species